AUUGAACGCUGGCGGCAGGCCUAACACAUGCAAGUCGAACGAGCGGCGGACGGGCGAGUAAUGUCUGGGAAACUGCCCGAUGGAGGGGGAUAACUACUGGAAACGGUAGCUAAUACCGCAUACCAUCGGAUGUGCCCAGAUGGGAUUAGCUAGUAGGUGGGGUAACGGCUAACCUAGGCGACGAUCCCUAGCUGGUCUGAGAGGAUGACCAGCCAACCUGGGACUGAGACACGGUCCAGACUCCUACGGGAGGCAGCAGUGGGGAAUAUUGCACAAGGGGCGCAAGCCUGAUGCAGCCAUGCCGCGUGUAUGAAGAAGGCCUUCGGGUUGUAAAGUACUUUCAGCGAGGAGGCGUUACGCGCAGAAGAAGCACCGGCUAACUCCGUGCCAGCAGCCGCGGUAAUAC
rnacentral:rRNA from 1 species